AUGAAAAACUCCAAGAUUUGGAAAAAUCUAGGAAAAAUCUCCAGGAUUUGGAAAAAUCUGGAAAAAACACCAGGAAAGUUCCAGGAUUUGCAGAAAUCUUGGAAAAUCUCCAGGAUUUGGAAAACUUUGGGAAAAAUCUCCAAUAAAGUUCCAGGAUUUGGGAAAUUCUGGGAAAAAUCUCCAGGGUUUGGAAAGAUCCAGGAAAAAGCUCCAGGAAAGUUCCAGAAUUUGGAAAAACCUGGGAAAAAUCUCCCGGAAAGUUCAAGGAAUUGGAGAAAUCUGGGAAAAAUCUCCAGGAUUUGGAAAAAUUUGGGAAAAAUCUCCAAGAAAUUCCCAGGAUUUGGGAAAAAUCUGGGGGAAAACUUCAGGAAAAUUCCAGGAACUGGAGAGUUGUGGGGAAAAAACUCCAGGAUUUGGGAAAUUCUGGGAAAAAUCUCCAGGAUUUGGAAAGAUCCAGGAAAAAGCUCCAGGAAAGUUCCAGAAUUUGGAGAAAUCUUGGAAAAUCUGCAGGAUUUGGAAAAACCUGGGAAAAAUCUCCCGGAAAGUUCAAGGAAUUGGAGAGAUCUGGGAAAAAUCUCCAGGAUUUGGAAAGAUCCAGGAAAAAAACUCCAGAAAAUUCCAGGAUUUGUGAAAAAUCCAGGAACAUUUCUUGCUUCUUUUUUAUCAGGAAUUUCCCUUUUCCAGGUUUUUUUGGGGCAUCUCCUUCCUAAUUUUCCUCCAGGAAAAGGAGCAGGAAUUCAGGGAAAUUUGGGAAAAAUCCCUCCCAGCCUUAAAUCUUUGAGUUCCAGCUGGAAAAGGAGGGAAAAAUUCUGGGGAAAAAAACCAAAUCCAAGGGAAUUCCCAAGGAAUGGAGGAUUUGGGAUUCCUGGGAAAGGAGCUUUUGGAAUAAUUCCAGGUGGUCUCAAAUCCAAGGGAAAUAAAGGAUUUUAUUUGGAUGUAGGAAAGGAGGAGCUGCCAGAGGUUCUGUGGGAUUUUGGGGGAAGGAAUUCCCGAAUUUGGGAUGGAAUUCCAUGGGGUGGGCGGGGUUUGGGGUUGUUCCUAAGGAAAAGCAACACGGAAUUCCAGGGGAUCCCGUUUUUCCA
rnacentral:lncRNA from 1 species